rnacentral:misc_RNA from 1 species
GAAAUGCGAUAAGUAGUGUGAAUUGCAGAAUUCAGUGAAUCAUCGAAUCUUUGAACGCACAUUGCGCCCUUUGGUAUUCCAAAGGGCAUGCCUGUUCGAGCGUCAUUUGUACCCUCAAGCUUUGCUUGGUGUUGGGCGUCUUGUCUCUAGCUUUGCUGGAGACUCGCCUUAAAGUAAUUGGCAGCCGGCCUACUGGUUUCGGAGCGCAGCACAAGUCGCACUCUCUAUCAGCAAAGGUCUAGCAUCCAUUAAGCCUUUUUUCAACUUUUGACCUCGGAUCAGGUAGGGAUACCCGCUUAACUUAAGC